CCUCCAAAACGUUAAUAAACUUGAAUAUCGGGGGACUGACAUUUUUCACUUGGGGACUACUCUGACUCGCUUUUAUCUAUACGGGGGUUUUAGCUUCUUUCUAGGAAUCUGGGGAAUACUAGCUCGCUCAUAUUCAGGUCUAUGUUAUGCCUUCUUCUGGCGUGUCCCUCAUCUCGGACACUUGUACUUUCGAGGCCUGGCGCUGGUGAAUAAAAUACAAUGAUGUUUCAAUUAUUUAUUCCAAACAGUUAUCUACAUUUAAGUGUGAUAUGUGAUCAUUUGAUUUAAAUAGUAAACUUUGUUUUUAACUUAUUUCUGUUAAUGAAAAUCUUUUAUAAAUUUAAGUUAAGUUUUAAAUACGAAACUAAGUUAUUAAAUCUGAAGAUAAA
rnacentral:lncRNA from 1 species